rnacentral:rRNA from 1 species
UACGUAGGUGACCAGCGUUGUCCGGAUUUACUGGGCGUAAAGAGCGCGCAGGCGGUCGAUCAAGUCGAGUGUGAAAGCCCCCGGCUCAACUGGGGAGGGUCACUUGAUACUGAUCGACUCGAAGGCAGGAGAGGGAAGCGGAAUUCCCGGUGUAGUGGUGAAAUGCGUAGAUAUCGGGAGGAACACCAGUGGCGAAGGCGACUUCCUGGCCUGUUCUUGACGCUGAGGCGCGAAAGCUAGGGGAGCAAACGGG